rnacentral:rRNA from 1 species
UGGGGGAUAUUGCACAAUGGGCGAAAGCCUGAUGCAGCGACGCCGCGUGGGGGAUGAAGGCCUUCGGGUUGUAAACUUCUUUUGCUCUGAACAAGGCGCACCAUGGGGUGUGUUGAGUGUAGGGGUUGAUUAGCGCCGGCUAACUACGUGCCAGCAGCCGCGGUAAUACGUAGGGCGCGAGCGUUGUCCGGAAUUAUUGGGCGUAAAGGGCUUGUAGGUGGCUGGUUGCGUCUGUCGUGAAAGCUCAUGGCUUAACUGUGGGUUUGCUGUGGGUGCGGGCUGGCUUGAGUGCAGUAGGGGAGGCUGGAAUUCCUGGUGUAGCGGUGGAAUGCGCAGAUAUCAGGAGGAAUACCGGUGGCGAAGGCGGGUCUCUGGGCUGUUACUGACACUGAGGAGCGAAAGCAUGGGGAGCGAACAGG